rnacentral:rRNA from 1 species
UACAGAGGUCUCAAGCGUUUGUUCGGAUUCAUUGGGCGUAAAGGGUGUGUAGGUGGCGCCGUAAGUCGGGUGUGAAAUUUCGGAGCUUAACUCCGAAACUGCAUUCGAUACUGCCGUGCUUGAGGACUGGAGAGGAGACUGGAAUUUACGGUGUAGCGGUGAAAUGCGUAGAUAUCGUAAGGAAGACCAGUGGCGAAGGCGGGUCUCUGGACAGUUCCUGACGCUGAGGCAACGGAAGGUCCAGGGGAGCAAACGGG